GAUGAACGCUGGCGGCGUGCCUAAUACAUGCAAGUCGAGCGAACGGACGAGAAGCUUGCUUCUCUGAUGUUAGCGGCGGACGGGUGAGUAACACGUGGAUAACCUACCUAUAAGACUGGGAUAACUUCGGGAAACCGUAGCUAAUACCGGAUAAUAUUUUGAACCGCAUGGUUCAAAAGUGAAAGACGGUCUUGCUGUCACUUAUAGAUGGAUCCCCGCUGCAUUAGCUAGUUGGUAAGGUAACGGCUUACCAAGGCAACGAUGCAUAGCCGACCUGAGAGGGGGAUCGGCCACACUGGAACUGAGACACGGUCCAGACUCCUACGGGAGGCAGCAGUAGGGAAUCUUCCGCAAUGGGCGAAAGCCUGACGGAGCAACGCCGCGUGAGUGAUGAAGGUCUUCGGAUCGUAAAACUCUGUUAUUAGGGAAGAACAUAUGUGUAAGUAACUGUGCACAUCUUGACGGUACCUAAUCAGAAAGCCACGGCUAACUACGUG
rnacentral:rRNA from 1 species